AGGCUUAUGAUUGGAGAAGGAGAACGUAGAAGUUUAUGCUUGCUUCCGGUCCGCGAGCCCAGAGCACUAACUUGGGGUCUUUUCCGAAGGUGGAUGUAGAAGCGGGCGCUGGCCUCCCACUCUCUUUUUCCAUUUGGGCUUAGCGUCUGGGUCACUGAGAACGACGUCUGAAUAGGGCCCUGGAUCCUUGCCAUGGAUGAAGGUGGUUCCCGCAUCCGCCGGCGGGUGUCUCUCCCCAAAAGGAACCGUCCAAGCCUGGGGUGCAUUUUUGUCGCUCCCACCGCGGCCGAGCUCGAGCCCGGAGAUGAGGGGAAAGAGGAGGAGGAAAUGGUGGCUGAGAACAGGAGGCGGAAAACCGCGGGCGUACUGCCGGUCGAGGUACAGCCCCUUCUACUCUCAGAUUCCCCCGAAUGUCUCGUCCUUGGAGGUGGUGAUACAAACCCGGACCUCCUACGUCGCAUGCCCACUGACAGAGGGGUGGGAGACCAGCAUAAUGACAGUGAAGAGGACAUGUUUGGUGACUAUGAUAGCUUUACUGAAAACUCCUUUAUAGCUCAAGUUGACGACCUGGAACAAAAAUAUAUGCAACUUCCUGAACAUAAGAAACAUGCUACAGACUUUGCCACUGAAAAUCUUUACUCAGAAAGUAUCAAAAACAAACUCAGCAUUACUAGCAUAGGCAACCUUACUGAAUUACAAACUGAUAAGCACACAGAGAACCAGAGUGGAUAUGAAGGUGUCACUGUUGAACCUGGAGCUGAUCUUUUGUAUGAUGUACCUUCCUCACAGGCUAUAUACUUUGAACAUUUACAGAAGUCUUCAAAUGAUUUGGGCAAUUGUUCUAUGAAAGAAAGGGAUUGGAAGUCAUCCUCUCACAACACUGUGAAUGAGGAACUGCCCCAUAAUUGCAUAGAGCAACCCCAGCAAAAUGAUGAGACCUCUUCCAAAGUCAGAAUUAGUUCAGAUAUGAACAGGAGAAAAAGUAUUAAAGAUCAUCUAAAAAGUGCCAUGACUGGAAAUGCCAAGGCCCAGACACCAAUAUUUUCUAGAAGUAAACAUCUCAAAGACACUCUCCUAUCUGAGGAAAUUAAUGUUGCUAAGAAAACAAUUGAGUCAUCAUCAAAUGACCUUGGUCCUUUUUAUUCAUUACCCAGCAAAGUGAGAGACCUUUAUUCCCAGUUCAAGGGAAUUGAAAAAUUAUAUGAAUGGCAACAUACUUGUUUAACAUUGAAUUCUGUGCAAGAAAGAAAAAAUUUAAUAUAUUCAUUGCCAACAAGUGGUGGAAAAACCCUCGUAGCUGAGAUUUUAAUGCUACAAGAACUGCUUUGCUGUCGGAAAGAUGUUUUAAUGAUUCUUCCAUAUGUGGCAAUUGUCCAAGAAAAGAUUUCAGGUUUGUCAAGUUUUGGUGUAGAACUUGGUUUCUUUGUUGAAGAAUAUGCUGGAAGCAAAGGAAGAUUUCCUCCAACGAAAAGAAGGGAAAAGAAAUCGCUAUAUAUUGCCACUAUUGAAAAAGGACAUAGCUUGGUGAACUCCUUGAUUGAAACUGGAAGAAUUGACAGUCUGGGUCUGGUUGUUGUAGAUGAGUUGCACAUGAUUGGUGAAGGAAGCCGUGGAGCUACACUGGAAAUGACCCUAGCAAAAAUCCUCUACACUAGCAGAACAACUCAAAUUAUUGGUAUGAGUGCAACAUUAAACAAUGUUGAAGACCUACAAAAGUUUCUUCAAGCAGAAUAUUAUACCAGUCAAUUUAGACCAGUUGAAUUAAAAGAAUAUCUGAAAAUAAAUGAUACAAUAUAUGAAAUUGACAGCAAAGCUGAGAAUGGCAUGACUUUUUCACGCCUCCUUAAUUAUAAGUAUUCUGAUACCCUAAAAAAGAUGGAUCCUGAUCACUUGGUAGCAUUGGUUACAGAAGUUAUUCCCAAUUAUUCCUGCUUAGUUUUUUGUCCUAGUAAGAAGAACUGUGAAAAUGUAGCAGAAAUGAUAUGCAAAUUUUUAAGCAAGGAAUAUCUGAAGCACAAGGAGAAAGAAAAAUGUGAGGUAAUUAAGAACUUGAAGAAUAUUGGCAAUGGCAACCUGUGUCCUGUUUUAAAGCGCACUAUCCCAUUUGGAGUUGCCUAUCACCAUAGUGGCUUAACAAGUGAUGAAAGGAAACUCUUGGAGGAGGCCUACUCCACAGGAGUGCUUUGUCUUUUUACCUGCACAUCUACCCUAGCAGCAGGUGUCAACCUACCAGCUCGAAGAGUUAUUUUAAGAGCUCCCUAUGUUGCUAAGGAAUUUUUAAAGAGGAAUCAAUAUAAACAGAUGAUUGGCAGAGCUGGUCGUGCUGGAAUAGAUACUAUUGGGGAGAGUAUCCUCAUACUGCAAGAAAAAGACAAACAACAGGUAUUGGAGUUAAUAACUAGACCAUUGGAAAACUGUUACAGCCAUCUUGUUCAGGAAUUCACCAAGGGAAUCCAAACAUUAUUUCUCUCUUUGAUUGGUUUGAAGAUUGCAACGAAUCUUGAUGACAUCUAUCACUUCAUGAAUGGUACAUUUUUUGGUGUUCAGCAAAAGAUUUUAUUGAAAGAAAAAAGUCUUUGGGAAAUAACUGUUGAAUCACUUAGAUACCUGACAGAAAAAGGACUCCUACAAAAAGACACUAUUUGUAAGUCUGAAGAGGAGGUCCAAUAUAAUUUUCAUAUUACAAAGUUGGGACGAGCUUCAUUUAAGGGAACUAUAGAUUUAGCUUAUUGUGACAUUCUCUACAAAGACUUGAAGAAAGGUCUUGAAGGACUUGUGCUUGAAAGCCUUCUUCAUCUAAUCUACCUAACAACCCCCUAUGAUCUGGUUUCACAGAGUAACCCUGAUUGGAUGAUAUACUUCAGGCAGUUUAGCCAACUCAGUCCAGCAGAACAAAAUGUAGCUGCCAUUCUUGGAGUCUCUGAAAGCUUUCUUGGGAAGAAAGCAUCAGGUCAAGCCAUCAGAAAGCUUAAUGCUUUUAAAAAAGUGAUCCAGUAUCAACCUGCAGAAUCUGUAACUCAUACAUCCUUCAAUUGUCACCAAGGUGGACAAGGACGUUGUCAACAGGCUAUAUCUGUCUUUUGUUCUUUAUACCUUGCUCAAAGAGACCAACAUUUGGACUGUAUCUGAAAAAUUUAAUAUGCCUCGAGGAUAUAUACAAAAUCUUCUCACUGGAGCUGCCUCAUUCUCAUCUUGUGUGUUACAUUUCUGUGAGGAGCUUGAGGAGUUUUGGGUUUACAGAGCCCUUUUGGUAGAACUUACCAAGAAGCUGACUUACUGUGUAAAGGCAGAACUAAUCCCUCUCAUGGAAGUUACUGGAGUUUUAGAGGGUCGAGCAAGACAGUUAUACAGUGCAGGUUACAAAAGUCUAAUGCACUUAGCUAAUGCAAAUCCUGAAGUGCUCAUAAAGACAAUUGAUCAUUUAUCAAGACGUCAAGCCAAGCAAAUUAUUGCGUCAGCAAAGAUGCUGUUGCAUGAAAAAGCAGAGGCCCUGCAAGAAGAAGUAGAAGAGCUACUAAGAUUACCUUCUGAUUUCCCUGGUGCUGUGGCUUCUUCCACUGACAAAGCAUGAAGCUAUCUGAUGAGCAUUUUCACAUAUGAAUUAUUUAUUGUACAUGUGUUUUAUUAAAAAUAACUUAUACUUUAUAAAUGAAAAAAUACAUUUUAAGUAUGCAUUAAGAACUAUGAAUAAUUGAAUAUACCUCUUCUCACUAACAAUUCAUUAUUUGGAAUACUUAUUUCUCUGCUGAACAGUCUAUAGUGUCCACCACAAAAUGAAAUUCAAUUUCAUCAACAUUAUGCUCAACCUUUGUAUCCCGAUCUUUCAUUAUUCUCUUACCCAUUUCUUUCAUCAAAUUGGACUAUUUGAAAUCCCCAGAAUUUUCCUUAGGAUUUCCAAACCCUCCAUUUCCUAACUGCUUUUUGUUAUUUCCAGUGCAUGAAAAUUAUCUUUAAAAUGUACUAAUACUUCAAGGAGUAACUAAAAAAUGCUAGAAUUCUG